rnacentral:tRNA from 1 species
ACCUCUUGAGUAUGAGACAGUACAGUUGCCUUCCAAGCAGAAAGAUUAAUAUACUUUAAAGGAGGUAG